AUCAUUAAUGAGAUCUGUAACUUCCUGCUACAAAAACAUAGCCACCGCUGGGUGCACUAGUCUUUAUUUUGGCCUGAGUACCACACCAAAUAGUGUGUCCCUCAGGGUCUCGUCUUUGUGUUUGCAGAUGAUGUGGUUCUGUUGGUGUCCUGGGGUCAUGACCUUCUGGAGGGUGAAGCGGUUGGGAUGAGAUCCGGCUCCUCCAAGUCCGAGCUUCACCUCCGACUGAAAGGAGGAUGUGCUCAGGUUUGUUCUGCUGCGUCACACGUUCUGUCACCAUCUGCUGCAAGUCCAGGUUCACCAGCUUUACACCCAAGAAAAGGUGCAAAUUACAUCCAUUCAGGACCAGACCAGGGCGCGAGUCUGAUGACAUCAUCGACGGCUGGCAGUGUUUGAGUCCCGUGCCACUCUUCUUCAUCUCAGUUUUCCUAAGUUUGGCCACGCCCCCACUCACCUGUUCUCCAUCAGCAUUCAUCUCAGGUGUCUCCUCUUCCUCAUCAUUCACACCGGCCCAGUUUCCUUCUGAUCUUCUUGUCUUUAUAAACACCAAGAACCUGAAGCCUGCAGUGACUCUGCCAGGCCUGAAGGUGGCGCUGUAACGUUUCUGCACCACAAACAGGAAACCAGCCGUGGAGCAUGAAACAAGAAAAGCGUCGUUUUCAAAGGUUUUCCUGUCUACGUACAAGGGCAGCUCAUCGGCCUCCCGGAGGAGCCGUUAAAUCAUCCUGAUGAGCCAAGACGAGCGCUGUAACCCCCCGACCACCUCUCUCUGGCUCCGCCCCUUUUCUCAAAGCCCAUCUCUCAGACGUUUGCUAAUAAACAGCAGGUCAGCACCUGCAGUGGCAGCUGAU